rnacentral:tRNA from 1 species
GCUCCUAUAGCUCAGUUGGUAGAGCAACUGACUCUUAAUCCGUAGGUCGUAGGUUCGAGUCCUACUGGGAGCACUA